rnacentral:lncRNA from 1 species
GGUCGAUAUGCUGCUGGAGGGCAAAAGUCCUCUAAAAGCCAACAAAUCAGAUAUGUCAACAAAAAUUCCAGAUACACAUUACUUUUAGAACUAUAAGGUGCUGUGGGCAGAUAUUUAAAAUCACAUUGUCUCCCAAGAGACAAUUUGUUUUAGACAUAAGGACUGACCUGAUUUUGAAAUACUUUAGCAAGGGCUGAGGAUCCUGAGGGUUAGAAGAAAACAUGUGAGCAGCAGUGGAGCAUGAGUUACGAAACAGUUCUGGGAAUGUGGUCUUCCAGUAUAACAAGGGCCACAGGAGUGGAACUUGGGCAGUUGGGAGGGGGCAGAGGUGUGACUAAGCAGAAAUGGGGCACAGAAACACGGGAAGGUUUGUUGUCAAAGGCACUCAUUUUCCAAGUCCUUCAACUCAGCUCAGCUUGUUAUAUGAACCUUAGCUCUAAACCAUUUCACUACAUGUUAGCAUUUUUUCCUACUUGAUAGGAAGGAAAAGUGAAAUUGUGUGUGGUUAAAAAACUGAGAGAUAGUGGGCUGGGUGCGGUGGCUCACGCCUGUAAUCCCAGCACUUUGAGAGGCCGAGGUGGGCAGAUUACCUAAGGUCAGGAGUUCAAGACCAGCCUGGCCAACUAGAAACCCCGUCUCCAGUAAAAAUACAAAAAUUAGCCGGGCGUGUAGCACAUACCUGUAAUCCCAGCUACUCAGGAGGCUGAGGCAGAAGAGUUACUUGAGCCUGAGAGACAGAGGUUGCAGUGAGCCGAGAUCGUGCCACUGCACUCCAGCCUAGCCGACAGAGCGAGACUCUGUCUCAAAAAAAAAAAAAAAACCUGAGAGAUAGUUAGAAAUGAGAUGCUUCUGAUCCCUGUUAGUUUAUGGUACAGAGGGGUUAGAAUAGACAAAUUAUUAACUGAACUAAAGUUUCCUCUCACAAGAAUGAAGAGCUAAAAACUAUACAUACUAGCAGCAGAACAGGGUAAAGCCACAUGUUUUCCACGUUUGUUUGUUUUCCACAUUUCAUAGCUCCAGUCUGUACACAGCUGAUUUGUUGAGUUAUGGUGCUAGGGCAACUAAGAGCAUGAAUGCAAACCUCGUGAUGUUCAAACCAAGUCAGUAAAUGGGUAUUGCCUGGCCUGAGGUCUCAUUUUCUAGAUACAAGUAACAGCAACAGAGUGUGUCGAAACUAGGGCAGGGUUUGCAUCAGGUAUCCUCAGUGGUUCCCAAAACUGGCAUAAUCUUAGAAGUUUGUUUUUUAAAAAUCCACAUUCCCUAAUCCUUAACCCUCAAGACAACAACAACAAAAACACUACUAAAUUAGAAUUCACAGGAGUCUAGAAAUCUAAUUUUUUAGAAAACAAACCAUCACGUGUUUCUGAUGACCAGCCAUGUUCAGGAGCCACAGCUGUUCUCAUUUAAUCCCCCCUGUAAUUUCACAAAAGUUACUAAUGGAUCCACUUUAUAGAUGAGAAACCUGAGGCUCAGGAGGAAGCUGCUCCUAGGACCACCGCUAAGUAGAGAGCCUUAGCGGAAUCAAACCUAGAUUGGUCAGCAAAACAACCAUACCUACAGCAAGUAACUGUAUCAGACACUUUACCCUGACUCCACUUCACUUCCUCUAAGAACUAUUUUACUUAAAAAACAACUGACUGCAUGCACUCUUGAAAGAGUCAACAAGUUUUGUCAUCUUUCUCUCCCAUCGGAAUUCUCUCAUUCUCCUACCCAUAGUGGGAGCUAAGGAUGUUUCUUGCCUCCUAAGACUUGGAAGUCUUGCGUUCUCCCACAUCAGAAACCUACCUGACCCAGGCGCUCCUCCCUCAGGAACUGGAUGUUGACAAUCAACAUGGGCUGAUGGGAGAAGGUGAACCUCCCACACCCACCCUCUUCCCUGGCAAGGGUCAAUCUCAUUAUCCACUACUCAGCCACCUCCUGCAGCCCUCCAUAAAGUUCAUGCAUUAAAAGGUUUUUGCUUACAAAGCAAACUGCUUGUAUGAAAUGAUUCAUUCUACCUCACAAAAAAAUACAUCUGAAAUUAUCAAUCAGAGCUUCAAUAAAUGUAAAAUUAGUAAAAAGGGUGGAUAGUUUCAUCAAAAAGCAAAUAAACUUAUGUUUUUGUUAGUCUGUGCAGCCUAAUUGUGGCCAAAUGUACAUUUUCCUUCAAAAUCCUUAAAAUAAUAAAACAAACUUGCAGAAAAUAAAGAAUGGCUGGGAUUUCAGAGUAGGAAUAACUGUAGCCAAAGGAAUCAUUGUAGUGGUAUUUCAGGCAUCAUGGCGGGAGGACUUAAUCACGGGCUCCAAACCUUUGCCCCAGUAACAGCCACAUACUCUGCCCAAUAUGAAAUCUGCCCUAGUCAGAAAAAGUUCUAGGGAAGACUGUGUAGAUAGAAUCAUUAAGGUUAAAAAAAAUCAAUUUUGUUCAGAUGUGUUCUCUGUUGAAGGGAAAGAGGGAAAGGAAGAACAGCCUCACUACAUGCUAUGAGAUGGUCAAACUUUAGUGUUCACAAGAAACAUCUGGAAAGCUUGUUAUAACAUAAUAUUCCCAGCUUCACAACUCCUGGAAACGCCAGUUCUCCUGUCUGAGCUGGGGCUUGGGAUCCUGCAUUUUCAUCAAGCACCUCAGGCGAUUCUGAUGCAGGUUUCUUCCUUAAGUUGCUAUUUAAAAAAUUCUGACAAUGUGGUAAGGUUCCAAGAACAGGACAAUGAACGCUGGUCUACACUACACUGAGAUCAAAGGUUGGUAAACUUUUUCAGUAAAGGGCCUAACAGUACAUAUUUUUGGACUGACAGUCUCUGUAGCAACUACUCAUUUCUACCCCUGCAGCAGGAAUUGCCCACAGUUAAUAAGUAUACAAGAAUGAGCUUGGCUGUGUUCCAAUAAGAUUUGAUUUAUGGACACUGAAAUUUAAAUGUCAUAGAAUUUUCACCACAUAAAAUAUUACUCUUCUUUUUCUUUCUUUUGUUAUAUUUAAAAACAUAAAAAUGAUUCCUAGCUCAGAAUUGCAGGCAGAGGUUUGCCAACUCGGAUUUUUCAAUUGUGAUCAUGAAGCCAGCUUUUCUAUGGAUGAACUUUAAAACUUAAUUUUUCAUAUUUAGACUAAUUAUUUUGUCCCUCUUAGGAA